rnacentral:rRNA from 1 species
UACGGAGGGUGCAAGCGUUAUCCGGAUUCACUGGGUUUAAAGGGAGCGCAGGCGGAUUGGUAAGUCAGUGGUGAAAUACCUGAGCUUAACUCGGGAACUGCCAUUGAUACUACCGGUCUUGAAUAUUGUUGAGGUAUGCGGAAUGGGUCAUGUAGCGGUGAAAUGCAUAGAUAUGACCCGGAACACCAAUUGCGAAGGCAGCAUGCUAAACAAAGAUUGACGCUGAGGCUCGAAACGUGGGGAUCAAACAGG